rnacentral:rRNA from 1 species
AUGCAACAAAUGAACAAGUUCGCUCGUUUAUGCUUCAAUCUCAGCCAGCAAAACCAGACGAACAAGAUGCUCCAAAUCAACAGUCCAGUUCAUCAGGACGGCAACAGAAUGCCUUCCAGUAGAACAGCAGCUGCAACAGAAUCACAUCAACAGUUGGGGAACACAAUCCCGCACAAGGAAACCUACAAUUCUGACGUUGUUUCAUUCCUUCGGCCAAAUGCAUGCUCAAGAAAUCGAACAAGGAAACAAAAUCAAUCAGUGCAGGAAAAUACGCGCUACUUUUGGCCGUCGCCCGUCUACCGGAGCAUCUUUUUCGGGGGGAGGGGGCGGUUGCCCGAUCCAUACCUGUUGGCCACCGCCGAACCCGUCGUCGUCGUCGCCACCACAGAGGAUAUGCGCCACCGCCCCUGCUGCCCAACGCCCUGCGCCGCCCGCCGCCGCCGCCCUCCCGAAUCCAGCCGCGUAUCCCUAGCCCUCUCAGAGACAAGAGUCAAUAGAGCUGGUCAGUUGCAAGAAUAA